rnacentral:lncRNA from 1 species
UUAAAGAGAUAUUUAUAUAAUGAGUUUGAAUAACCUCACCCUUAAAUCUGUUAAAUAAAUAAUGUACAGCACAUAUGAAUAUCUAGUAGCUAAAAUAAAAUAAACAAAUGCACCUGCAAGACAUAAACUAAAAUUAUCAAUAUUUUUAUUCAUAGGAUACAAAAUUAAAAUAAUAUUGCUUACUGUUUCCGGGAUACAUAAGACAUCAAAGUUCAUGUCGCUGCUGAUUAAAAUUUAAGAAUAUUCAGAAUUGAAACUCAUCAUUAGUUUGGCUCUUCAUUAUUUCCUUGCUGUUGCUCCUCAUUUUUUAUUUGCUCCUGCAGCUGAAGACGGCUUGCCAUUUUUCUCUUCUUUUUGAAUUCUGGUUGCUGACUUCUUACUCUCUCCAAAGUCCUCUAUUUAUAGCACUUCGAUCGGCUCGACUCCCCCAGUGGUGAUAAGUCACUUGUUAUUUAACAGGUUUGCUGGUUGAAAGUUUAAACAAGUGAAUAAGUACUUGUCCAUUAGUUGUACUUGUCAAUUAGUUGCUAAAUGUUACUUCACUUGAACAUAGAUACUAAAUGUGACUGAGUCGGCGAUAUAUUUGUAAUCUUAACAAAUUAGCUUUAUCGAUUGGGCAAGUCUAAUUUUUCUAUUUAAUAGAGAGACUAUCAAGAAAAAUGAUAUUUUUCUAUUUAGUCUCAAACAUAUUUUAAGGACAAUUUUUAUAGUCUCACAUAAAUUUUAAAGUACCUCAUGAUCCAUCUAACAGCUCUCCAGUGUUCUCUCCCUGGUUGUGCCAUAUAUCUGCUAACUACACUCACUGACUGGGAUAGAUCUGGUCGAGUGAGUACCAUAGCAUACAUUAGACAACCUACAGCAUUUGCAUAAGGGACAUUCUUCAUAUCAAGCUUCUCCUCAUCAGUUUUUGGACACAACUGAUUACUCAGCUUGAAGUGAGCUGCUAGGGGAGUUAGUACAGGCUUGGAAUCCAGCAUCUUGUAGGUUUCCAGAACCUUAGUCAAAUAUCUCUCUUGACUGAGAAAUAUUUCUCCCUUUGUUCUGUUUCUUUUAAUUUCUACACCCAAAAUCUUCUUAGCAGUCCCUAAGUCUUUCAUGUCGAAUUCUGAGUUCAACAUAACCUUCAACUUUUCUAUUUCAUCCCUCCUUUUACAAGCUAUCAGCAUAUCAUCUACAUAGAGGAGGAGAUAGAUGUAGUGAUCAUCUUCCAGCAGCCUGAAAUAUACACAGCCCUUUAGCCACCAGCCUGGCUUUGAAUCUCUUUGGUUCAUCUCCUGUCAAACCAUCUUUAACUUUAAAGAUCCAUUUGCAGUCUACAACCCUCCUCUUAUCAGGUUUCUUAACCAGUUCCCAGGUGUCAUUUUUAUAAAGGGACAUAAUUUCUUCAUCCAUGGCUUGCUGCCACUCUUUGCUAAACUUGCUUUGGACUGCUUCUUUGUAGAUUUUUGGUUCAUCUUCAUCAAUCUGAUGUGCAGCUGCUAGAGCAUAUGAGAUAAGGUCAGCAUAUCCAUACCUUCUGGUUUGUUUGAUUUGUCUCCUGGCUCUAUCUCUAGUUAGUUGGUAGCCUUUCUCAUGUCCCUGAGACUCUUGUUCUUGUUGAGGGAGUUCUGGAUCACCUGAGCUGUCAGUAACUCCACCUGAAUCUCCAGCUUCCAGUGAGUCAUCAGAUUUAGAAAACUCCACCUCAAACUGUUGCUUAUUACCAGUCUCAGUAUCUUCCUUAGUUGGCUGUUGAGCUAACUUCUGAUUUAGUAAUUCUUUUUCAUUAAAGGUCACAUCCCUGCUUAUUAUGCAUCUGGGUGGACUUAAGUCUGUGCACCAGAUCUUAUAGCCCUUCACUCCCUCUGGAUAUCCUAUGAAGAAACCUUUCAAAGCCCUAGGAGCUAGCUUUCCUUGGCUUGUGUGAGCAUAAGCUGGACAGCCAAAUGCUCUCAGGUUCCCAUAGUUAGCUGGUUGUCCUGUCCACCUCUCAUAGGGUGUUUUGAAAUCAAUUGCUGUAGAGGGACUCAGGUUAACCAGAUGACAAGCAGUUAAAAGUAUUUCUGCCCACAAAGUCUUUGGAAGCUUGGAUUGAACCAGCAUACUCCUCACCCUCUCCAUGAGUGUCCUGUUCAUCCUUUCAGCUAACCCAUUCUGCUGAGGUGUUAACCUCACUGUUUUAUGCCUAGCUAUUCCUUCCUUUGCACAGAAGCUAUCAAACCUUUGAUUACAGAAUUCUAAACCAUUGUCUGUUCUGAGUUUUUUAACCUUCUUACCACAUUGAUUUUCAACCAAGUUUUUCCAUUCAAAGAACUUAUCAAAAACUUGGUCUUUGCUCUUAAGAGUAUAAACCCACACCCUCCUAGAGUAGUCAUCUAUAAUGGAUAAGAAGUAACUGUUACCACCUAGAGACACUUGUUGAGCAGGUCCCCAUAAGUCAGAAUGCACAUAUUCCAGCUUGUCAUUUGACUUGUGUAUUGACCUAUUAAAACUAGCUCGAGUUGCCUUUCCUAAGACACAACUCUCACAGAAUUCCAAUUCACCAAUCUUAUCACCUUCUAGUAAACCUUGCUUAUCUAAUUCUUUAAGCCCUCUCACCCCAAUGUGCCCCAACCUCAGAUGCCAUAGUCUGGUUUUAUCAGUAUUGGCAUUUACUGACACCCCAACUUCACCAGUAACUACUUCCCCAUCUAAGACAAAUACUCCAUUCUUCCUUAAACCCUUCAUGAUGGUUUCAGUGCCUUUAAUUAUCAUCAUUUCCCCAGAUUCAAUCUUAACACUAUAUCCCAUUUGAUCAAGCAUUCCUAAAGAAAUCAGAUUUCUCUUAAGAUCAGGCACAAACCUCACCUGUUUAAGCUCUCUUAUGGAUCCAUCAUGGAGUUUAAGCCUUAUGUUUCCAAUACCUAUGAUCUUACACAUGGCAUUAUUGCCCAUCAUAACUCUACCCCCAUCCAAGUCAUGAUACUCAGUCAAGUAAUUUUUAUAAGGGCACAUAUGGAAAGUACAGCCAGAAUCAAGCACCCAUUUACCUCUGUCUUUGCUCUCUGUUGCUACACAUACACCAGCAGAUUCAUAUCCUUCCUCCUCUACAACAGCUGCAUCACCAUCCUUUCCCUUUUUCUGAAACUUCUUUUCUGGACAAUCCUUCUUGAAAUGCCCCUCUUUGUGACACAAGAAACAUCUCAGAUUCUUUUGCUUUUCUUUAUUCUUUCCUUGCUUCUUUUUCUUCCAUUCUGGUUUUGCUUUUACAGUUAACCCCUCUCCAGAGCCAUUUCCAAGGCUUUCUUGCUUCCCUUGCAAUUCUUUAGUGCUAAGAGCUGACUUCACUUCAUCCAGUGACAAUGUCUGCCUUCCAUACAUCAAAGCAUCAAUAAAGUGUUCGUAUGACUUAGGCAAAGAACUUAUCAGAAGCAAAGCUUUAUCCUCAUCUUCCAAUGCUGCAUCUAUGGUUUCAAGAGUGUCGCACACUUUAUUAAACUCAUCAAGAUGUUCAUCUAGAGAUGAGCCUUCAAGCAUUUUCAACGUGAACAUCCUCUUCUUGAUAUACAACCUGUUGGCCAGGGAUUUUUUCAUGUAAAUGCUCUCUAGUUUUGCCCAUAGGUCAGCAACAGUAGGCUCUUUAGCUACUUCUCUUAUCACAGAAUCUGCAAGACUCAAGAUGAUAGUUCCCUUGGCCUUCCUGUCAAUCUCUGCCAUCUGUUCUGGAGUUUUUGAUGUAGAGAUAUCUUUCCCCUCCUUCUUGGUUACUGGUAGCAGGGCAUCUUCAAGACCAUGAGUUAUUAGCACUGCUUCCAUCUUUACCUUCCACAUAUUGAAGUCGUUUUUCCCAUUGAACUUCUCGAGAUCAACCUUGGUAGAAGUCAUACUUGGAUCUUGGACUUCAAGACUCCAGCUCUGAUACCACGUGUAGUGAUUUAACACCCCUUAAGACACAAGAUGCUAAGCCACUGCCCAGGAGACUCAAGUUCUUGAUCAAACAAGUUGCAUAAGAAACCAAGAUAAGAUGUCUAGUAUUCAACUCAAACCCAAUACGCUCUAGAUCUAAUGAUUAAUAUCAGUGCUUUCAACCUAAACCAGAAACAACUCACAAUACACAAGAACAGAAUAUUACGUGGUUCAAUUGUGCAUUACAUGCACAAUUUACAUCCACGGGAAAAGCCACAGGAAAAGCUUUAUUGAUGAAUCAAGAAGACAAAUACAGAACUUCUCAAGAUGAGACUACAAGCAUCAAGAUUACACUCUCUCACUCUCUGAUCUCUCUCUAAAGCUCUCUCUGAACCACACACUUCCUCCCUCAGCAACCAGCUUUAUACACCUGAUGCUGAAACCCAGAUUGCACAGGAUCUGGACACGUGUGUAACGACAUUAACAACUUUGAUUCGUUUCUUCACGAGCUGGCUCACGUGCUUCACUUAAGUUUAUCCAAAACGACAGAGGCUGAGUCGUUUAGCUUUUGAACUUAAAAUCCUCGUGCUGCAUGUGACAGUUGACUGAAACCAUUUGAACAAAACGAACCGUUUUGGGACUCUGAGUUUUCGAUUCAUUUCACUCAAGUCCACAGAUUCUUUUACAAAUGUAUCGGAAGUUUUUCUUCUUCUUUUUCCUUUUUUCCUUUUCAAAGUAAAAACAUUUGGAUCAAAUCUAAACUAUUGGAAGUUCUUAGUCUUUGAUUUACAUACAGUGCCACUGACGCUUUUACCAAACCAAGAACAUAAUAUAGCAAACUAACAAAUAAUUUGAUACAUUUUCAAUCUCUAUAUAAUAUAUUGAAACUUGAGUGAACUAACGAACAGUGGUAAAAAUGGAAGUCUUGCAAAUGUAGAAAGGGUUUGUGAACGUUGAGAUAAGAAAAGUAGAAAGUGAAGAUAUAUGUGUCAUUAGGACUUGAGAGGUGCAAUGAGCAGAAGAAUGACUUUCGAAUUUUUAUAAGUGAAAGGGAUUUAAAGAGAUAUUUAUAUAAUGAGUUUGAAUAACCUCACCCUUAAAUCUGUUAAAUAAAUAAUGUACAGCACAUAUGAAUAUCUAGUAGCUAAAAUAAAAUAAACAAAUGCACCUGCAAGACAUAAACUAAAAUUAUCAAUAUUUUUAUUCAUAGGAUACAAAAUUAAAAUAAUAUUGCUUACUGUUUCCGGGAUACAUAAGACAUCAAAGUUCAUGUCGCUGCUGAUUAAAAUUUAAGAAUAUUCAGAAUUGAAACUCAUCAUUAGUUUGGCUCUUCAUUAUUUCCUUGCUGUUGCUCCUCAUUUUUUAUUUGCUCCUGCAGCUGAAGACGGCUUGCCAUUUUUCUCUUCUUUUUGAAUUCUGGUUGCUGACUUCUUACUCUCUCCAAAGUCCUCUAUUUAUAGCACUUCGAUCGGCUCGACUCCCCCAGUGGUGAUAAGUCACUUGUUAUUUAACAGGUUUGCUGGUUGAAAGUUUAAACAAGUGAAUAAGUACUUGUCCAUUAGUUGUACUUGUCAAUUAGUUGCUAAAUGUUACUUCACUUGAACAUAGAUACUAAAUGUGACUGAGUCGGCGAUAUAUUUGUAAUCUUAACAAAUUAGCUUUAUCGAUUGGGCAAGUCUAAUUUUUCUAUUUAAUAGAGAGACUAUCAAGAAAAAUGAUAUUUUUCUAUUUAGUCUCAAACAUAUUUUAAGGACAAUUUUUAUAGUCUCACAUAAAUUUUAAUAACAAUUUUU